rnacentral:lncRNA from 1 species
ACAAAUUUGUGAUCGUAACUCUGCAAUACAGAAGCGAUCUAGACAUAAUUGUAUGUUGAUAAACAUCUGAUGCGAACUCGGUUAGCAAGGUUGUUAUCGAACCCACAGGAAUUGACACUAGAUCCCAAGAACGCCCAAAUACGAUCAAGGUUUAGGAUUUAACUUCUAAACGAUGAACCAAGCAAUCGAAAGUAUAUUAAAACAAUAAUCUCUUGAUCACAAAGUCUCGAAAUCUCACCCGAAUUGUGGACUUGAACCAAAAAAUCCAACAAGAACGAUGCUUGAAAGACCACUUGAUUACAUAACCCAAAGAUCCAACUCGAUUUUUUGAACGCCACAAGAAAUCACUUUCUUGAUAACUUCGAUUUGCCCAUUUAAGAACAAGAUAAUUGAAGCGAAAAGUUUUGAGAGAAUUUUUAUU